rnacentral:lncRNA from 1 species
UUUUUUUCUAGUAUAAUUGCCUUGGAGUCAGACAAUAUACUUGGCAUAAUUUCAGUCCUUUGAAAUUUGCUUUAUGGCCCAGUAUAUGGGCAGUUUUUGCACACGUUCCAUGUGAUUGAAGAGAACAGUUGUUGAGUGCAAGGUUGUAUAACUGUCCAGCAGGCCUUGUUCAUACUUUCUCUACUUGGGUUGUAGUUAGUCCAUCUUUCCUAAUGUGUGUAUAUAUAUAUAUAUAUUUUAAUUAUGUAAGCAUUUCUUUUGUUGAAAAGAUCCUUCAAAAAAUACCAUAUCCAUAGAUUUACUUUCUGUCAUAUAGCUGAAUGUGUUGUGUUUGGAAUUCCAUUCUUACAUUUAAAAAUCAACUGGAUUGCCCAGAAGUUUAGAUGCAUUUGUUUUGUUUAUCUUAUCCAUGUUGAAGAUGUAAGUAGAUGAUCUGAAAGCAUCAGGUUUGAUUACACCACAUAAUGCAUGUCUUUCUUAAGUAUUGGUGUUACAGAAAUGGUUCUUAUCUCAGAAGCAGAGAAGCUGACAGGUGGAAGGAAGGAGAGAGAGUUCUGUGGAUUGCGGAGGGCUUGUAACAAAGAUACAGUAGGAGAAGCCAAGGAUGACAGCUGGUGACCAAUUACUAAGCACACUACACUGGGCGCCCCAGGCUGCCCUGCCAUCACCCUGCAAGGGUCUCUUUCCUAGGCCCUUGCUGCCAGCCACCCCCCAACUGCUCCCCAAAGGGAAGACUGGGAUUUGGGUACUGAAGGAUUUUUCAUCUGUUCACACGCGGGCGUUCAAGCUCAAAAGCCUAACCACUACCACUCCCAGGCUCAUUCUUGCUCCUUGUGAACGAAUUCCACUCUGGGUCUGGCACCCCUGAAGAUAGCAGAGUUGGGAUCGGCUACUUCAUUGAGGGGCGUCACAACAUUCGAGGUUUAAGCUGGAGUCGUGGUCUUUGUGCUCUUCCCUCCUCUGUCGGUUCUUUGAAAUCCAUGUUGGAUCGUGGAAGGGAGGACCAUCUCUGAAGUGGCUGCCCAGUUGGGGGCCUGUUUCCCAGUCACCUGGGUGACUACCUCCCCUGCCUCCUAAGAAGUCAUCCCUGAAGCUUCGUCAUCUGGUACACCUUUUCUGAAUCCAAAGCCACCUUUAUCUUGUUUUCUGCCUUCUGCAAUGUCCACAUGAAGUGACUGAUUGCCCAACAGUGCACCAUCGUAUGUCAAGCUUCCUUAAGGGAAUCCACUUCAUCGAAUUCUAUAUAGCAGAAUCCUUUAAAUUUAUCUGUGUCUUUGUCUCUGACUACCCGUACACUCCUUAUGCUGAGAUCCUUAAAGAUAGCAUCUAUGUCGCCCUGAACCAUAUUAAAAGGUAGAUUCCCUACAUAUGCUGUGUGUGGGGCUCUGUGAGCGACUCCU